rnacentral:rRNA from 1 species
AGCGAACGCUGGCGGCAGGCCUAACACAUGCAAGUCGAACGAACUCUUCGGAGUUAGUGGCGGGCGGGUGAGUAACACGUGGGAACGUGCCCUUUGGUACGGAAUAACUCAGGGAAACUUGAGCUAAUACCGGAUGUGCCCUUCGGGGGAAAGAUUUAUCGCCAUUGGAGCGGCCCGCGUCUGAUUAGCUAGUUGGUGAGGUAAAGGCUCACCAAGGCUACGAUCAGUAGCUGGUCUGAGAGGAUGAUCAGCCACAUUGGGACUGAGACACGGCCCAAACUCCUACGGGAGGCAGCAGUGGGGAAUCUUGCGCAAUGGGCGAAAGCCUGACGCAGCCAUGCCGCGUGAAUGAUGAAGGUCUUAGGAUUGUAAAAUUCUUUCACCGGGGACGAUAAUGACGGUACCCGGAGAAGAAGCCCCGGCUAACUUCGUG